AUUGAACGCUGGCGGAAUGCUUUACACAUGCAAGUCGAACGGCAGCACGGGGGCAACCCUGGUGGCGAGUGGCGAACGGGUGAGUAAUACAUCGGAACGUGCCCGGUCGUGGGGGAUAACGUAGCGAAAGUUACGCUAAUACCGCAUACGAUCUGAGGAUGAAAGCGGGGGACCUUCGGGCCUCGCGCGAUCGGAGCGGCCGAUGUCAGAUUAGGUAGUUGGUGGGGUAAAGGCCUACCAAGCCGACGAUCUGUAGCUGGUCUUAGAGGACGACCAGCAAAACUGGGACUGAGAAACGGCCCAGACUACGACGGGAGGCAGCAGUGGGGAAUGUUGGACAAUGGGGGCAAGCAUGAUCCAGCAAUUCCGCGUGCAGGACGAAGGCCUUCGGGUUGUAAACUGCUUUUGUAUGGAACGAAAAGGCUCUGGCUAAUAACUGGGGCUAAUGACGGUACCGUAAGAAUAAGCACCGGCUAACUACGUG
rnacentral:rRNA from 1 species